rnacentral:rRNA from 1 species
GCAAGUCGAGCGGGGAAGGGUAGCUUGCUACCUAACCUAGCGGCGGACGGGUGAGUAAUGCUUAGGAAUCUGCCUAUUAGUGGGGGACAACGUUUCGAAAGGAACGCUAAUACCGCAUACGCCCUACGGGGGAAAGCAGGGGCUCUUCGGACCUUGCGCUAAUAGAUGAGCCUAAGUCAGAUUAGCUAGUUGGUGGGGUAAAGGCCUACCAAGGCGACGAUCUGUAGCGGGUCUGAGAGGAUGAUCCGCCACACUGGGACUGAGACACGGCCCAGACUCCUACGGGAGGCAGCAGUGGGGAAUAUUGGACAAUGGGGGGAACCCUGAUCCAGCCAUGCCGCGUGUGUGAAGAAGGCCUUUUGGUUGUAAAGCACUUUAAGCGAGGAGGAGGCUCCUAUAGAUAAUACCUAUAGUGAGUGGACGUUACUCGCAGAAUAAGCACCGGCUAACUCUGUGCCAGCAGCCGCGGUAAUACAGAGGGUGCGAGCGUUAAUCGGAUUUACUGGGCGUAAAGCGUACGUAGGCGGCUUUUUAAGUCGGAUGUGAAAUCCCUGAGCUUAACUUAGGAAUUGCAUUCGAUACUGGGAAGCUAGAGUAUGGGAGAGGAUGGUAGAAUUCCAGGUGUAGCGGUGAAAUGCGUAGAGAUCUGGAGGAAUACCGAUGGCGAAGGCAGCCAUCUGGCCUAAUACUGACGCUGAGGUACGAAAGCAUGGGGAGCAAACAGGAUUAGAUACCCUGGUAGUCCAUGCCGUAAACGAUGUCUACUAGCCGUUGGGGCCUUUGAGGCUUUAGUGGCGCAGCUAACGCGAUAAGUAGACCGCCUGGGGAGUACGGUCGCAAGACUAAAACUCAAAUGAAUUGACGGGGGCCCGCACAAGCGGUGGAGCAUGUGGUUUAAUUCGAUGCAACGCGAAGAACCUUACCUGGUCUUGACAUAGUAAGAACUUUCCAGAGAUGGAUUGGUGCCUUCGGGAACUUACAUACAGGUGCUGCAUGGCUGUCGUCAGCUCGUGUCGUGAGAUGUUGGGUUAAGU